UGUCUAGAUCCAGAAUCCUGAGUGUAUUAUUAUAUAUUAUACACGUAUGAUUUGAUGUAUUUUUAUAGCCAGAUAUUAUAAAAUACCCGGAUAGGUUAAUUAUUCAUUGCACAGGUUUUAUAAACACACGAGUUAAUCGCCGGCCAUAACGAUUACAAAUGUUUCGUUCGCGUGGACUCCGUUAUCACGUACUUAUUAACUCAUUUUUCAACCGAGAUU